AUGCUAUUUAUUGUGUUAGACAUUUAAUUUGAUUAUAUUUAAUCAGUUAAUAUUUUGAGUGAAUAAUUGAAAUGAACGAAAUAAAACAUAGCAGGAAUUUUAGGGAUCAUUUCAAAGACCUUGAAAUUCAUUACACACACUGAUUUUCUUUUACUUAUCAGUCUUGUUACAUUCUGCAAUAACCAUGUGGAAACCUGAGUUUCUAAUUAUCCUUUCUGCCUCCUCCUGAUUCACAUCUUUUAUUCUCAUCAGAAAGUAUGUGAAGAACUAAGAAACACAGAGAAAACAAUCACUGACAACUCUUUGGUAGUGUGAGUGUCUAUCAGGUGCCAACUGGAAUGUUUCUUUUCAUUUGGGGGUUACUUUGUAGACUGUUAUUCUCUAUAGCUGCUAAAAUCCACCUGGAAACAUUUUUCCCAGUCACACAAGGCAAAGUCAACAUUAUUGACGACUGAGAUAGCUUAGCGGUCAAGGAGACCCUGAUGAAGAAAGGUCAACACAGGAGAACACCAUUGUUCCACGUAACACGUGCCCAAUCAAAAAUGUGCUGCCAUGAACAAAGAUUUUCUUUUAAGCUGGGAAACUUAACUUCACAUUCUUUUUUUAAGACUUUCAAUCUCACCAAUAGACAAGACACUAGGAGAAAAGACUGCAGCUUCACUUGUGUCAUUUCUAGAAAAAUGAGCUAUCGCUAAGGAAUUGCAUUAGUGAAUUUAAAUGGUUUCACGCAGUUGAAUUAUUUAGACAUUUCUUUUCCUGUCCUGUGAUUCUCUCUUUCAUCUAUCUGAACACUUGCCACCUGCUAAUGCUCAUAUCUGUAUAACUCCGAAGGCUUCUUUUCUCUUCCUUUAUUCCAAAAAAUACAACAAACCCUUGGAGAUCGAGCCUACUCCAUAGGUGCCCUAACUUACCUGGGUCCUUACUUCCAUUUUUUCAGUCAGUUCUUGCCAACUUUCUUGUAAAUCCCACACAGCAAUCAUCUUUUAUGCCUGAACUAUCUCCUGAACCCCAAAGGCACAUUUUUCUGCUACCUACUAAACUCUUCUACUUGGUUUCCCAGGAGAAAUUUUUCUUAUAUGUGUCAAGUCACAAACGAAAUGGAAACAAUGGUUUUCUUUUCUUUUCUUUUCUUUUCUUCUUCUGCUCUUCCUUCUCAUUCUAUAACUAAGAGGUGAGCUUUGUAGGACUGGAACUCCAGAAUCAUGCUGACCCCUUUUCUUCCUCUCUGCUCUCAUAUUCUAGUUACUUUCCAAUUCCUAAAGGGUUUCUGCCAAAUGUCCUGGAUACCCAUUCUCUCCACUGAUAUUCAUUUCCUUUCGAAUGUUGGACUAAACCAUCCUUCUCAGCUUCUAUUGCAUCUCAUGGGUCCUGCUAUCUCUCUAGGUCCCUAAACCUUUAUGUGAUUUCCAUCUGGGCAGAGAUUCCUUGACAAGUUCUAAUGAUGCUAUUUUCUGCUUAAAAAAUUAAAAAUUUCAGUGUGUUCUCAUAGCCAAGUCCAAGAUCCUGAUUCUGGCAUUCAAUGAUUUCUAGGAUUUUCCCUCCAAAAUAGCCUUUUUCCUUACCCUCCUGUGACAUAAACAAAGUGGACUAUAGGCAGGUGCCUAAUCUCCCACCCUCAACGACUUUCCCAUCAAUGUUCCACAGUUGAUGCUUUAUCUUUACCAGAUGUGUCCUCUCUCCCCUUCCUCCUUCCUUCAUAACAAACUGAGGUCUUACCCAGCCUUUAAAAAUGCCUCAUUUACUACAAUGAAGUACAACCUCAUACGGGUCAGAAUGGCCAUCAUUAAUAAGCCUACAAAUUACAGACACUAGACAGGAUAUGGAGAAAAGGGAACCCUCCUGCACUGCUGGUGGGAAUGUAAAUUGGUACAUCCACUUUGGAAAACAGUACGUAAGUUCCUGAGAAAACUAAAUAUAGAACUAAAUAUGAUACACCAAUCCCACUCCUGGGCACAUAUCCAGACAAAAGUACAAUUCAAAAAGAUACAUGCACCUGUAUGUUCAGAGCAGCACUAAUCACAAUAGCCAAGACAUGGAACCAACCCAAAUGUCCAACAAGAGAUGAAUGGAUUAAGAAGAUGUGGUACAUAUACACAGUGGAAUACUGCUCAGCCAUAAAAAUGAGUGAAAUAAUGCCAUUUGCAGCAACAUGAAUGUAACCAGAGAUUCUCAUACUAAGUAAGUCAGAAAGAGAAAGACAGAUACCAUAUGAUAUCACUUAUAUAUGGAAUCUAAAUGAACCUAUACAUAAAACAGAAACAGCCUCACAGACAUAGAGAACAAACGUGUGGUUGCCAAGGUGGAAGCCAGGAGAGACUGGGAGUGUGGGGUUAGUAGAUGCAAGCUAUUACAUUUAGAAUGGAUAAGCAAUGAGGUCCUACUGUAUAGCACAGAGAACUAUAUCCAAUUUCUUGGGACUGACCAUGAUGGAAGAUAAUACAUAUAAAUGAAUAGCUGGGUCACUUUUCUGUAUAGCAGAAAUUGGCAUAACAUUGUGAAUCAACUACUUUAAUAAAAAUAAAUGGGUAGAUUUUCACCCUCCUUUGAAAUUCAUUAUUCCAUUAAUGGCACUUUUGCUGUGAUACAUCCUCAUUCGAACAAAUAUUUACUUCAUACAAAUUUCUGUGCUUUUAUUCCUGGUAUUGUGCUUGUAUUGUAUGUACUGUGUUGUACUUGUACUGGCCUUCUCUCAGCUCUUUGAAGGUUUAUACUAGAUUUUACUCAUCUUUUAAUGUGAAAUUAUAGCCUAUAUCAUAGUGGAUGUUGCACUAUGUUGUUGUAGGUCUUGCCUCUCAGAGACGGUUUUUAUCUUGACAUCCCUCCCGACGGCAUGGUGCUUACCUUGACCACCGCGUCCAACCAUCGCUUUCAUUGCAAUUACACACGUUCCUUCUAUAAAAUACUUCACUCCAGGCUGACACCAUAUUUGGAGUCCCACAGAUCUGCAUCCAUCUGGAAUCAUGCGUAGUGCCAUCUGUACCUUUCCUUUAAAGUCCUGCUGGCUGUAAAAGAUGUGAAACCUAAUAACGGGUUAAUAUGUUAACUUCUCCAAAAGUAAAACUGUUGGUGUUCAACAGAACUUUGAGAAGAUAAGGAGUGACUUUCCUCCAGAGAAUUUCUGACUGAGUGGCAUGCUGAUAUGGGUGAUAUUUUUGGUCUGGUACAAUUUUCAAUCCCCACAAAUCACAUCUUACAAGUGGCUGACAAGUUUAUCUAUGUCUGGGAGAGGACACGGACCCCUCAUCUAAACAGGCACCCAUGCACUCACUCACACAUGUACCACGGCCCUCAGAUCACGUGACAGCGAGAUUCCCAGGACAAUGGAAACAAGGGCUACAGGGCUCACCUGCCUUCAGUUCCACAGGGAGCUGACAAGGGCUCAGCAACUGCAGGGGUCUCCAUCACACAAGAUAUUUUUUUUUUCAAUCCAAAUCAUAUCUUCAAUUUUGUCCUGUUAGGGGUUAGUAGAUGCAAAGUAUUACAUGUAGAAUGGAUACGAAAUGAGGUCCUACUCUAGGACCUCCACCCCCCAAUACAAAUGAAGAGACAGAGUUCCUGUUGUGGAUCAGCAGUUAACGAACCCAACUAGUAUCCAUGAGGACACGGGUUCGAUCCCUGGCCCUGCUCAGUGGGUUAAGGAUCCGGCAUUGCUGUGAGCUUUGGUGUAGGUCGCAGAUGCAGCUCAGACCCUGCAUUGCUGUGGCUGUGGCAUAGGCUGGCAGCUGUACUUCCAAUUCGACCCCUAGCCUGGGAACCUCCACAGGCUGCAGGUGUGGCCCUAAAAAG
rnacentral:lncRNA from 1 species